GAAAUGCGAUAAGUAAUGUGAAUUGCAGAAUUCAGUGAAUCAUCGAAUCUUUGAACGCACCUUGCGCUCCUUGGUAUUCCUUGGAGCAUGCCUGUUUGAGUAUCAUGAAAUCUUCAAAGUAAAUCUUUUGUUAACUCAAUUGGUUUCUACUUUGGUAUUGGAGGUCUUUGCAGCUUCACACCUGCUCCUCUUUGUUCAUUAGCUGGAUCUCAGUGUUAUGCUGGUUCCACUCGGCGUGAUAAGUUAUCUAUCGCUGAGGACACUGUAAAAGGUGGCCAAGGUAAAUGCAGAUGAACCGCUUCUAAUAGUCCAUUGACUUGGACAAUACUUUUAUGAUCUGAUCUCAAAUCAGGUAGGACUACCCGCUGAACUUAAGC
rnacentral:misc_RNA from 1 species